GAGUUGUUAGAAGAAUGCUGAUGAAGUCAUUCUCUAUGUUGUUUCCUUGUUACUUCUGCUCCUCAAAUCUUCUAUUACCAUUUAUCACAAAUUUCCAGUUGCUAAUGCAGAUUUUGAUCUUUCAUGUGCACUUGUAGGUGGUGCUGGACUUGGAUGAAACACUGGUAUGUGCAUAUGAGACAUCAAGUUUGCCAGCUGCUCUACGGACUCAAGCAAUUGAAGGUGGUUUGAAUUGGUUUGAGCUGGAAUGUGUAUCGAUAGACAAGGAAGGAGAAGCCAAACCAAAAAUCAAUUAUGUUACAGUAUUUGAACGCCCUGGGUUGAAGGAAUUCUUAAAAAAAACUCAGUGAAUUUGCUGAAUUGGUGCUGUUUACUGCUCUGGUCUUGAAGGUUUGUUCCAAAAUAUUAAGCUGCUGCACUUGUGUGUAUUCAUCUUUUGGAAAUUAUGUUUGACAUUUCUGAACAUGACAUGCCCCUGAAUUAAUAUUAUAAUUCAUUUAAUCUU